GCUUACGACCACACCGGCAUGAGUACGCCUGAUCUCGUCUGAUCUCGGAAUCUAAGCAGGGUCGGGCCUGGUUAGUACUUGGAUGGGAGACCGCCUGGGAAUACCAGGUGCUGUAAUCU
ensembl:rRNA 5S_rRNA 5S ribosomal RNA